GACGAACGCUGGCGGCGUGCUUAACACAUGCAAGUCGAACGGAAAGGCCCUGCUUUUGUGGGGUGCUCGAGUGGCGAACGGGUGAGUAACACGUGAGUAACCUGCCCUUGACUUUGGGAUAACUUCAGGAAACUGGGGCUAAUACCGGAUAGGAGCUCCUGCUGCAUGGUGGGGGUUGGAAAGUUUCGGCGGUUGGGGAUGGACUCGCGGCUUAUCAGCUUGUUGGUGGGGUAGUGGCUUACCAAGGCUUUGACGGGUAGCCGGCCUGAGAGGGUGACCGGCCACAUUGGGACUGAGAUACGGCCCAGACUCCUACGGGAGGCAGCAGUGGGGAAUAUUGCACAAUGGGCGGAAGCCUGAUGCAGCAACGCCGCGUGCGGGAUGACGGCCUUCGGGUUGUAAACCGCUUUCGCCUGUGACGAAGCGUGAGUGACGGUAAUGGGUAAAGAAGCACCGGCUAACUACGUGCCAGCAGCCGCGGUGAUACGUAGGGUGCGAGCGUUGUCCGGAUUUAUUGGGCGUAAAGGGCUCGUAGGUGGUUGAUCGCGUCGGAAGUGUAUCUUUGGGGCGAUCAGAGGGGANGNGCNNUUNGANANGGGUUACCUUGAGGACCCUUCGGGAGAAUGGAAUUCCUGGGGGAGCGGGGGAAUGCGCAGAUAUCAGGAGGAACACCAGUGGCGAAGGCGGUUCUCUGGGCCUUUCCUGACGCUGAGGAGCGAAAGCGUGGGGAGCGAACAGGCUUAGAUACCCUGGUAGUCCACGCUGUAAACGGUGGGUACUAGGUGUGGGGUCCAUUCCACGGGUUCCGUGCCGUAGCUAACGCUUUAAGUACCCCGCCUGGGGAGUACGGCCGCAAGGCUAAAACUCAAAGGAAUUGACGGGGCCCCGCACAAGCGGCGGAGCAUGCGGAUUAAUUCGAUGCAACGCGUAGAACCUUACCUGGGUUUGACAUGGAUCGGGAGUGCUCAGAGAUGGGUGUGCCUCUUUUGGGGUCGGUUCACAGGUGGUGCAUGGCUGUCGUCAGCUCGUGUCGUGAGAUGUUGGGUUGAGUCCCGCAACGAGCGCAACCCUUGUUCACUGUUGCCAGCACGUUAUGGUGGGGACUCAGUGGAGACCGCCGGGGUCAACUCGGAGGAAGGUGGGGAUGACGUCAAGUCAUCAUGCCCCUUAUGUCCAGGGCUUCACGCAUGCUACAAUGGCUGGUACAGAGAGUGGCGAGCCUGUGAGGGUGAGCGAAUCUCGGAAAGCCGGUCUCAGUUCGGAUUGGGGUCUGCAACUCGACCUCAUGAAGUCGGAGUCGCUAGUAAUCGCAGAUCAGCAACGCUGCGGUGAAUACGGUCCCGGGGCU
rnacentral:rRNA from 1 species